rnacentral:siRNA from 1 species
UACUCAGGAUUCAACCUCAUAUGC